UGCGGAGGAUCAUUAUUGAAUUAUAAGCAAGGGUUGUAGCUGGUCCCUCGGGGCAUGUGCACGCCUGAGCUCUUAAUCCACUUACACCUGUGAACUUAAUGUGGGACGUCUCUCGGGACGAUUCUCAUGUCUUUCAUAUACCCUUAUGUAUGUCUCAGAAUGUCAUAUGUUGCUUUAACGCAAUUAAAUACAACUUUCAACAACGGAUCUCUUGGCUCUCGCAUCGAUGAAGAACGCAGCGAAAUGCGAUAAGUAAUGUGAAUUGCAGAUUUUCAGUGAAUCAUCGAAUCUUUGAACGCACCUUGCGCUCCUUGGUAUUCCGAGGAGCAUGCCUGUUUGAGUGUCAUUAAAUUCUCAACUCUACCGAUUUGYUUCGGGCAGAGCUUGGAUUUGGAGCGUGCUGGCCCUUCCCUGGGUCGGCUCCUCUUUAAAUGCAUCAGCGGAGUCUUCUUUGACUUCCGGUAUCAGUGUGAUAAUCAUGUUGCGCUGUUGGCCGAGGUCUUAGUCCGCUUACAAUGGUCUUCGGACAACUUUACAAAUUUUGACCUCAAAUCAGGUAGGAUUACCCGCUGAACUUAAGCAU
rnacentral:rRNA from 1 species